GUACUCACUUCAGCAGCACAUAUUCUAAAAUUGGAAUGAUACAGAGAAGAUUAGCAUGGCCCCUGUGCAAGGAUGACAUGCAAAUUCAUGAAGCAUUCCAUAUUUUU